AGUUAUUUAGCUUAUAAUAAAGCAUGUAUUUUGAAAAUACAAGAAAGAAAAAUUUAAUAACUU
rnacentral:tRNA from 1 species